GUGGUGCAGUUGGUAGCACUUUUGCCUUGCAGAAAGAAGGUCCUGGGUUUGACUCCCAGUCUCA